AUGUGGUUGAACGACGCGAUCACGCCGCUGCGAGCGGCGUCUACAGGCGUGAGGUGGGUGCGGUUCUCAACCGCAGCUACUCG
rnacentral:tRNA from 1 species